GGGCCCGUGGCUCAGCCAGGUAGAGCCGGUGCACCUAAAGCACCCGGCUGAUAACCGGGGGGUCCCGGGUUCAAAUCCCGGCGGGCCCACCA
rnacentral:tRNA from 1 species